rnacentral:rRNA from 1 species
GAGUUUGAUCCUGGCUCAGGAUGAACGCUAGCGGCAGGCUUAAUACGUGCAAGUCGUGGGGCAGCAGGGGUGUAGCAAUACACUCGCUGGCGACCGGCAAACGGGUGCGGAACACGUACGCAAUCUACCCAUAACUGGUGAAUAGCCCUCCGAAAGGAGGAUUAAUACACCGUAACAUACUGAAGUGGCAUCACUUUAUUAUUAUAGCUCCGGCGGUUUUGGAUGAGCGUGCGCCUGAUUAGAUAGUUGGCGGGGUAACGGCCCACCAAGUCUGCGAUCAGUAACUGGUGUGAGAGCACGACCAGUCACACGGGCACUGAGACACGGCCCAGACUCCUACGGGAGGCAGCAGUGGGGAAUAUUGGACAAUGGGCGAAAGCCUGAUCCAGCAAUGCCGCGUGAGUGAUGAAGGCCUUAGGGUUGUAGAAGCUCUUUUACCCGGGAUGAUAAUGACAGUACCGGGAGAAUAAGCCCCGGCUAACUCCGUGCCAGCAGCCGCGGUAAUACGGAGGGGGCUAGCGUCGUUCGGAAUUACUGGGCGUAAAGCGCGCGUAUGCUGCUUUGUAAGUUAGAGGUGAAAGCCCGGAGCUCAACUCCGGAAUUGCCUUGACGACUGCAUCGCUAUAGUCAUGUAGAGGUCAGUGGAAUUCCGAGUGUGAAGGUGACAUUCGUAGAUAUUCGGACGACACCANUGGCGAAGGCGACUACCUGUACAUGUAUGGACGCUGAGGUGCGAUGCGUCGGAGCCACUGGAUGGAUACCUGGUAUCAAGCGANUCAGCCCUGCGCGUACUAUGAUCCACU